AUGGGGUACGAGGAGUAUGAAAACAAAUGCCAAAUCUGUAAAAAAACUAACCAUAUCGCAAAAGAAUGCAAGUGGUGCUAUGCAGAGGACAAUUCCAGAAGGAGGCGUGUUGCAACCGUAGCAGAUGCCUCAUACGGAGUGGACUCAAACUGGUAUCUUGACUCUGGCUCAAAUGAGAACAUCACCUCUGAGCUUGAGAAGAUGACCAUGCACGAGAAGUACCAAGGCCAAGAUCAAGUCCACACUGCUGAAAACGGUCCAGGUAUGAUGAUAAGUCAUGUUGGCAAGUCUAUUAUUCAAACCCCACAUCGUGAUAUUCGUGUAGAUGAUGUUCUGCAUAUUCCUAAUGCAUCAAAAAAUCUUCUGUCAGUUCAUCGCAUUACUCUUGACAAUGGUGUCUUCAUAGAGUUUCAUCCCUUCUUCUUUUUGAUCAAGGAUCAGGUCACGAGGAGGGUACUUCAUCGCGUUAGAUGUGUGCAAGGUCUCUAUCCGUUGAUCCCCACAAUUUCCAAGUUCAAUAAGCAAGCAUAUGGAGCUUUCAAGGUGUCCUCAGAACGAUGGCAUAAUCGUUUAGGCCACCCAUCUUUUUCCAUUGCUUAUCAAAUUCUUAGCAAAAAUAAGCUCGCGUUUGUUGACGAGCAUGAUCAUGAAACUAUUUGUGACUCUUGCCAAAGAGCAAAAAGCCACCAGUUGCCAUAUCCUAUUUCCAAUAGUGUUUCAACAAAACCCUUGCAACUUGUGUUUUCUGAUGUAUGGGGAUCGGCCCCCUCCUCUGUCGGUCGGCACACCUAUUACGUGAGUUUCAUCGAUGACUUUAGCAAGUAUACAUGGAUAUACCUCCUUAAGAAACGCUCCGAUGUUUUCCAAGUUUUUCUUAACUUUCAAGCUCUUGUCGAACGACAAUUCAAUUGCAAAAUACUUGCCAUGCAAUCAGAUUGGGGAGGGGAAUACGAGAAACUUAACCUCUUUUUCCAACGGAUAGGGAUCUCUCAUCAUGUUUCUUGCCCUCACGCUCACCAACAAAAUGGUUCCGCGGAGCGCAAGCAUAGACACAUUGUCGACGUCGGUCUUUCUCUCCUUGCCGGAGCAUCCAUGCCACUCAAGUUCUGGGAUGAGGCGUUCCUCACCGCGGUGCACCUCAUAAAUAUUUUACCUAGCCGUGUCAUCAACUUUGAGACACCCACUGAACGUCUACUUCAUAUCAAGCCCGAGUAUUCUCAUCUUCGUGUGUUUGGUUGCGCAUGUUGGCCCAACCUUCGUCCCUAUAAUAAUAGGAAACUUAUGUUUCGAUCAACACAAUAUGUCUUCAUAGGCUACAGCGCACAACAUAAAGGUGUCAAGUGUCUUGAUGUAGCCACGGGACGCGUGUAUAUCUCCCGAGAUGUUGUCUUUGAUGAAACGGUGUUUCCUUUUGCUAAACUCCAUCCAAAUGCUGGCGCUUUGCUUCGCAAAGAAAUUCUUCUGUUGCCCUCUACCUUGACCGGCGUUGAUCAUGGGGGAGAGAAUAAUAGUACUAACCAACUUGCCUCUAAUCAUCAUAUUAUGCCUGAGAUUACUGCUGCAGAUUUGAAUUCAGAAGAAGAAGGAAAUUGCAGCUCAAAUAGGCGUGAUUUCAUGUGCCCCCUGACUGGCGACAUGAACGCACAUCGAGGAGGAUCCGCCCCAAUAUCCUCUCCGGGAUCCGGGCGCACAGCACCUGGUCGCGCCUCGGGGCCCGAGUGCCUCGAGCGGGCGUGUGAUCAGGACAACGACGGCGUUGCCCCGCACCAACCGCCUGACGACGCGUGGCGGACAGAUUCUCGCGCGCCCGAUCCCGCCUCACCUGGUUGGUCCGCGCCGGCUUCGCCAGGGCCCGCCACUACGCCAGGGCCCGCCGCUUCAUCACCGAGGCGGUCGCCCACAGGCGCGACACAAUCCCCCUCGGGAUCUGAGUCGCCAGCACCUGAGGCAGAUUCGACCGGUGGAUCUCCUGCGGCUCCAUCUCCUGUGGUUCCUCCUGUGACGCCGCGCACCAGGCUACAGAAGGGAAUCACCACUCGGUUAAAUUACAAAAAUUUCUCAAAAAUUGGUAUGUCCUGCACAACUGGUGAACCCAACAGUUUAAUGAUAGCACUUGGUGAUCCUAGGUGGAAGGCGGCCAUGGAAGAUGAAAUCACGGCGCUGCGUAAAAAUAAAACGUGGCACCUAGUGCCUCCUCGACCAGGCAGAAAUCUGAUUGAUUGUAAGUGGGUCUAUCGAAUCAAGAAGAAGUCUGAUGGUACCAUAGACAGAUACAAGGCAAGACUUGUAGCCAAGGGCUUCAAGCAAAGGUAUGGAAUAGAUUAUGAGGACACGUUCAGUCCUGUUGUUAAAGCUGCAACAAUCCGUCUUGUGUUAUCAAUAGCUGUGUCCAGGGGUUGGAGUCUGAGGCAGCUAGAUGUUCAGAACGCGUUUCUUCAUGGUGUUCUGGAAGAGGAAGUGUACAUGAAACAGCCUCCUGGGUUUGAAGAUAAAGAUGCACCAUCCUAUGUCUGCAAGCUUGACAAGGCCUUGUAUGGGUUGAAGCAGGCACCCAGGGCGUGGUAUUCACGGUUAAGUAUGAAACUCCAGUCACUUGGCUUUGUUCCAUCAAAAUCUGACACCUCCUUGUUCAUCUAUAACAAGCACAAAACAUCCAUAUUUGUUUUAAUAUAUGUUGAUGACAUAAUUGUCACUAGUUCUUCUGAUGGAGCUGUGACAGCAUUACUCAAGGAUCUAGGCUCUGAGUUUGCACUUAAGGACUUGGGAGACCUGCAUUUCUUCUUGGGCAUUGAGGUCAAGAAACAUAGUAAUGGUAUUCAUCUAUCUCAGGCAAAGUAUGCUACUGAACUACUAAGCAGAAUUGGCAUGCAGAAUUGUAAAUCUUCACCAACACCUUUGUCUAGUUCAGAACCUUUAUCCUUGACAGAAGGACAGCCUCUGCAUCAAGAGGAUAUCACAGGUUACAGGAGUCUAGUCGGUGGACUUCAGUAUUUGACUCUUACUCGACCUGACAUCUCUUUUGCAGUCAAUAAAGUGUGUCAGUAUCUUCACGCACCUACCACAGCCCACUGGACAGCUGCAAAACGAAUUCUCAGAAGGUCAACAGGUGGUUUUGCUAUCUUCUAUGGACCUAACUUGAUAUCAUGGUGCACAAGAAAGCAAGCUACUGUUUCCAGGUCAAGUACAGAAGCAGAGUAUAAAGCAUUAGCAAAUGCAACGGCGGAAAUUAUUUGGGUUCAGUCUAUGCUCAGAGAACUUGGAGUGACUCAGAUUCAGCCUCCUUGUUUGUGGUGUGACAAUCUUGGUGCUACAUAUUUAUCUGCUAAUCCAGUUUUUCAUGCCAGGACAAAGCACAUUGAAAUAGACUUUCAUUUUGUACGAGAACGUGUUGCCAAUAAACAGCUUGAGAUCAGGUUUAUACCUUCCAAAAAUCAGCUUGCAGAUGGGUUCACAAAGGCAUUACCACUCAAAGGUUUUGAAGAGUUCAAACGUAAUCUCAACUUAUGCUAG
rnacentral:rRNA from 1 species